UACGUAGGGACCAAGCGUUGUUCGGAUUUACUGGGCGUAAAGGGCGCGUAGGCGGCGUGUCAAGUCAAUUGUGAAAUCUCCGAGCUUAACUCGGAACGGUCAAUUGAUACUGAUGUGCUAGAGUAGCAGAAGGGGCAAUCGGAAGUUCUUGGUGUAGCGGUGAAAUGCGUAGAUAUCAAGAGGAACACCUGAGGUGAAGACGGGUUGCUGGGCUGACACUGACGCUGAGGCGCGGAAAGCUAGGGUAGCAAACGGG
rnacentral:rRNA from 1 species